rnacentral:rRNA from 1 species
GGCAACAGCUCAAAUUUGAAAUCUGGCUCCUUUUGGGGGUCCGAGUUGUAAUUUGCAGAGGGUGCUUUGGUGUUUACCCUGGCCUAAGUUCCUUGGAACAGGACGUCACAGAGGGUGAGAACCCCGUACGUGGCCUGUGGUUUUCGCCGUGUAAAGCCCCUUCGACGAGUCGAGUUGUUUGGGAAUGCAGCUCUAAAUGGGAGGUAAAUUUCUUCUAAAGCUAAAUACUGGCCAGAGACCGAUAGCGCACAAGUAGAGUGAUCGAAAGAUGAAAAGCACUUUGGAAAGAGAGUCAAAAAGCACGUGAAAUUGUUGAAAGGGAAGCGCUUGCAGCCAGACUUGCCUACAGUUGCUCAUCCGGGACAACGCCCGGUGCACUCUUCUGCAGGCAGGCCAGCAUCAGUCCAGGCGGUCGGAUAAAGGUCUUGGGAAUGUGGCUCCUCUCGGGGAGUGUUAUAGCCCAGGGCGCAAUGCGGCCAGCUUGGACUGAGGCCCGCGCAUUCGCUAGGAUGCUGGCGUAAUGGCUGUAAGCGGCCCGUCUUGAAACACGGACCAAGGAGUCUAACAUCUAUGCGAGUGUUUGGGUGUCAAGCCCGAGCGCGCAAUGAAAGUGAACGGAGGUGGGAACCCCUAGGGGCGCACCAUCGACCGAUCCUGAUGUCUUCGGAUGGAUUUGAGUAAGAGCAUAGCUGUUGGGACCCGAAAGAUGGUGAACUAUGCCUGAAUAGGGUGAAGCCAGAGGAAACUCUGGUGGAGGCUCGCAGCGGUUCUGACGUGCAAAUCGAUCGUCAAAUUUGGGCAUAGGGGCGAAAGACUAAUCGAACUAUCUAGUAGCUGGUUCCUGCCGAAGUUUCCCUCAGGAUAGCAGUAACGUUUUCAGUUUUAUGAGGUAAAGCGAAUGAUUAGAGGCAUGGGGGUUGAAACAACCUUCACCUAUUCUCAAACUUUAAAUAUGUAAGAAGUCCUUGUUACUUAAUU